GAUCAUGGCUCAGGAUGAACGCUGGCGGCGCGCCUAACACAUGCAAGUCGAACGGCACCCAUCCUCGGGUGGAAGCGAGUGGCGAACGGCUGAGUAACACGUGGAGAACCUGCCCCCCUCCCCCGGGAUAGCCGCCCGAAAGGACGGGUAAUACCGGAUACCCCGGGGUGCCGCAUGGCACCCCGGCUAAAGCCCCGACGGGAGGGGAUGGCUCCGCGGCCCAUCAGGUAGACGGCGGGGUGACGGCCCACCGUGCCGACAACGGGUAGCCGGGUUG
rnacentral:rRNA from 1 species